rnacentral:rRNA from 1 species
UACGUAGGGGGCAAGCGUUGUCCGGAUUUAUUGGGCGUAAAGAGCGUGUAGGCGGCUUCACAGGUCCGCUGUGAAAACUCGAGGCUCAACCUCGAGCUGUCGGUGGAAACCGUGUGGCUAGAGUCCGGAAGAGGAGAGUGGAAUUCCCGGUGUAGCGGUGAAAUGCGCAGAUAUCAGGAAGAACACCUAUGGCGAAGGCAGCACUCUGGGACGGUACUGACGCUGAGACGCGAAAGCGUGGGGAGCGAACAGG